rnacentral:rRNA from 1 species
CGUAGGAACCUGCCAUACAGUGGGGGAUAACGCUGGGAAACCGGUGCUAAUACCGCAUGUGGUUGUGACUCGAGAGAGUGACAAAGAAAGCAGCAAUGCGCUGUAUGAGGGGCCUGCGGCCGAUUAGCUAGUUGGUGGGGUAAAGGCGUACCAAGGCGACGAUCGGUAGCUGGUCUGAGAGGAUGGUCAGCCACACUGGGACUGAGACACGGCCCAG